ACUGCUCAGUAACACGUGGACAACCUACCCUAAGGAGGGGGAUAACCCCGGGAAACUGGGGAUAAUACCCCAUAGACUAUGGGUGCUGGAAUGCCUUGUAGUCGAAAGGUCCGCCGCCUUAGGAUGGGUCUGCGGCCGAUUAGGUUGUUGUUGGGGUAACGGCCCAACAAGCCUGUAAUCGGUACGGGUUGUGGGAGCAAGAGCCCGGAGAUGGAUUCUGAGACACGAAUCCAGGCCCUACGGGGCGCAGCAGGCGCGAAAACUUUACAAUGCGGGAAACCGUGAUAAGGGAACUCCGAGUGCCCGUUAAAUCGGGCUGUCCACCAGUUUAAACAACUGGUGAAGAAAGGGCCGGGCAAGACCGGUGCCAGCCGCCGCGGUAAUACCGGCGGCUCGAGUGGUGGCCACUAUUACUGGGCUUAAAGCGUUCGUAGCUGGUCUGUUAAGUCUCUGGGGAAAUCUACCGGCUUAACCGGUAGGCGUCUCAGGGAUACUGGCAGACUAGGGACCGGGAGAGGUGAGAGGUACUCCAGGGGUAGGAGUGAAAUCCUGUAAUCCUUGGGGGACCACCUGUGGCGAAGGCGUCUCACCAGAACGGCUCCGACAGUGAGGGACGAAAGCUGGGGGAGCAAACCGGAUUAGAUACCCGGGUAGUCCCAGCUGUAAACGAUGCGCGUUAGGUGUAUCGGUGACCACGAGUCACCGAGGUGCCGAAGAGAAAUCGUGAAACGUGCCGCCUGGGAAGUACGGUCGCAAGGCUGAAACUUAAAGGAAUUGGCGGGGGAG
rnacentral:rRNA from 1 species